rnacentral:rRNA from 1 species
UUAAGCGACUAAGCGUACACGGUGGAUGCCCUGGCAGUCAGAGGCGAUGAAGGACGUGCUAAUCUGCGAAAAGCGUCGGUAAGGUGAUAUGAACCGUUAUAACCGGCGAUGUCCGAAUGGGGAAACCCAGUGCAAUUCGUUGCACUAUCGUUAACUGAAUACAUAGGUUAACGAGGCGAACCGGGGGAACUGAAACAUCUAAGUACCCCGAGGAAAAGAAAUCAACCGAGAUUCCCCCAGUAGCGGCGAGCGAACGGGGAGCAGCCCAGAGUCUGAAUCAGCUUGUGUGUUAGUGGAACGGUCUGGAAAGUCCGACGGUACAGGGUGAUAGUCCCGUACACCAAAAUGCACAGGCUGUGAACUCGAAGAGUAGGGCGGGACACGUGGUAUCCUGUCUGAAUAUGGGGGGACCAUCCUCCAAGGCUAAAUACUCCUGACUGACCGAUAGUGAACCAGUACCGUGAGGGAAAGGCGAAAAGAACCCCGGCGAGGGGAGUGAAAAAGAACCUGAAACCGUGUACGUACAAGCAGUGGGAGCACCUUCGGGUGUGACUGCGUACCUUUUGUAUAAUGGGUCAGCGACUUAUAUUCUGUAGCAAGGUUAACCGUAUAGGGGAGCCGCAGGGAAACCGAGUCUUAACUGGGCGUUAAGUUGCAGGGUAUAGACCCGAAACCCGGUGAUCUAGCCAUGGGCAGGUUGAAGGUUGGGUAACACUAACUGGAGGACCGAACCGACUAAUGUUGAAAAAUUAGCGGAUGACUUGUGGCUGGGGGUGAAAGGCCAAUCAAACCGGGAGAUAGCUGGUUCUCCCCGAAAGCUAUUUAGGUAGCGCCUCGUGAACUCAUCUUCGGGGGUAGAGCACUGUUUCGGCUAGGGGGUCAUCCCGACUUACCAACCCGAUGCAAACUACGAAUACCGAAGAAUGUUAUCACGGGAGACACACGGCGGGUGCUAACGUCCGUCGUGAAGAGGGAAACAACCCAGACCGCCAGCUAAGGUCCCAAAGUCAUGGUUAAGUGGGAAACGAUGUGGGAAGGCACAGACAGCCAGGAUGUUGGCUUAGAAGCAGCCAUCAUUUAAAGAAAGCGUAAUAGCUCACUGGUCGAGUCGGCCUGCGCGGAAGAUGUAACGGGGCUAAACCAUGCACCGAAGCUGCGGCAGCGACACUAUGUGUUGUUGGGUAGGGGAGCGUUCUGUAAGCCUGCGAAGGUGUGCUGUGAGGCAUGCUGGAGGUAUCAGAAGUGCGAAUGCUGACAUAAGUAACGAUAAAGCGGGUGAAAAGCCCGCUCGCCGGAAGACCAAGGGUUCCUGUCCAACGUUAAUCGGGGCAGGGUGAGUCGACCCCUAAGGCGAGGCCGAAAGGCGUAGUCGAUGGGAAACAGGUUAAUAUUCCUGUACUUGGUGUUACUGCGAAGGGGGGACGGAGAAGGCUAUGUUAGCCGGGCGACGGUUGUCCCGGUUUAAGCAUGUAGGCUGAUUGUCCAGGCAAAUCCGGAUAAUCAAGGCUGAGGUGUGAUGACGAGGCACUACGGUGCUGAAGUAACAAAUGCCCUGCUUCCAGGAAAAGCCUCUAAGCAUCAGGUAACAUUAAAUCGUACCCCAAACCGACACAGGUGGUCAGGUAGAGAAUACCAAGGCGCUUGAGAGAACUCGGGUGAAGGAACUAGGCAAAAUGGUGCCGUAACUUCGGGAGAAGGCACGCUGGUGUGUAGGUGAAGUCCCUGCGGAUGGAGCUGAGACCAGUCGAAGAUACCAGCUGGCUGCAACUGUUUAUUAAAAACACAGCACUGUGCAAACACGAAAGUGGACGUAUACGGUGUGACGCCUGCCCGGUGCCGGAAGGUUAAUUGAUGGGGUUAUCCGUAAGGAGAAGCUCUUGAUCGAAGCCCCGGUAAACGGCGGCCGUAACUAUAACGGUCCUAAGGUAGCGAAAUUCCUUGUCGGGUAAGUUCCGACCUGCACGAAUGGCGUAAUGAUGGCCAGGCUGUCUCCACCCGAGACUCAGUGAAAUUGAACUCGCUGUGAAGAUGCAGUGUACCCGCGGCAAGACGGAAAGACCCCGUGAACCUUUACUAUAGCUUGACACUGAACAUUGAGCCUUGAUGUGUAGGAUAGGUGGGAGGCUUUGAAGCGUGGACGCCAGUCUGCGUGGAGCCAACCUUGAAAUACCACCCUUUAAUGUUUGAUGUUCUAACGUUGGCCCCUGACCGGGGUUGCGGACAGUGUCUGGUGGGUAGUUUGACUGGGGCGGUCUCCUCCCAAAGCGUAACGGAGGAGCACGAAGGUUAGCUAAUCCUGGUCGGACAUCAGGAGGUUAGUGCAAUGGCAUAAGCUAGCUUGACUGCGAGCGUGACGGCGCGAGCAGGUGCGAAAGCAGGUCAUAGUGAUCCGGUGGUUCUGAAUGGAAGGGCCAUCGC